AUUGAACGCUGGCGGCAUGCCUUACACAUGCAAGUCGAACGGCAGCGCGGGAGCAAUCCUGGCGGCGAGUGGCGAACGGGUGAGUAAUAUAUCGGAACGUGCCCAGUAGUGGGGGAUAGCCCGGCGAAAGCCGGAUUAAUACCGCAUACGACCUACGGGUGAAAGGGGGGGAUCGCAAGACCUCUCGCUAUUGGCGCGGCCGAGAUCAGAUUAGGUAGUUGGGGGGGUAAAGGCCUACCAAGCCUGCGAUCUGUAGUUGGUCUGAGAGGACGACCAGCCACGCUGGGACUGAGACACGGCCCAGACUCCUACGGGAGGCAGCAGUGGGGAAUUUUGGACAAUGGGCGCAAGCCUGAUCCAGCAAUGCCGCGUGCAGGAAGAAGGCCUUCGGGUUGUAAACUGCUUUUGUCAGGGAAGAAAUCCUCUAGGCUAAUACCUUGGGGGGAUGACGGUACCUGAAGAAUAAGCACCGGCUAACUACGUGCCAGCAGCCGCAGUAACAC
rnacentral:rRNA from 1 species